rnacentral:rRNA from 1 species
UACGGGGGGAGCAAGCGUUGUUCGGAUUUACUGGGCGUAAAGGGCGCGUAGGCGGCCUUCUAAGUCAGACGUGAAAUCCCCAGGCUUAACUUGGGAACUGCGUCUGAUACUGGGAGGCUUGAGUGCGGGAGAGGGAUGUGGAAUUCCAGGUGUAGCGGUGAAAUGCGUAGAUAUCUGGAGGAACACCGGUGGCGAAGGCGGCAUCCUGGACCGACACUGACGCUGAGGCGCGAAAGCUAGGGGAGCAAACGGG